UUCUUAUCAAGAGAGGCGGAGGGACUGGCCCUACGAUGCCUCGGCAGCGGACUCAAUAGAGAGUGCUGUGCCAAAUCCAGCAAGCGAUAUGCUUGAUAGAUGAGAA
rnacentral:ncRNA from 2 species